rnacentral:misc_RNA from 1 species
UUUCCGUAGGUGAACCUGCGGAAGGAUCAUUCAUAAUAAAGUGUUUUAUGGCACUUUUUAAAAAUCCAUAUCCACCUUGUGUGCAAUGUUAGAUCUCGUCAAUCUUGGCGAGAUUUUUAUACAUCAACUCAUUCUUUAACUAAUUUGUCUGAAAAGUAUUAUGAAUACUUAAUUCAAAAUACAACUUUCAACAACGGAUCUCUUGGCUCUG